GCUGUUCGGGUGGGGAGUGUGAAGGGGAGGCGAAGCCGGGUUCCUAAGUCCCCGCCCACCAUGGGUAGUGCCUGUAAAGCUGCUUUGGCUCCAGCCAGGGGGAAGGCGCCUGUGAAACUUGAGAUAAGGCGAGAAUUUCACAAACGUACUGCCUGGUCAGGGCCUUAGUCGCUGUGGCCUUUGAUCAGAGGAGCAGAAUGUAGAGGAGGCGGGGAGAGUGUGCGAAGCAGGGGCUGAGGGUACAGAGACAGCCAGCCUCCCUCUGUAGACUCAAACACACUUUAUUCAGCACAGGAAUGUCUGAACAGCGGGGCCUUGGGCAGGGUUCCUCACACAGAGAACUCUCCUUCCAGCCCCGCUGUCAACAGAACCAAGAUCAUCACAUCAUGUAAACCAUGGGGCCACGGGGGAGGGCUCUGCACAAGGUCUGGGGCAGGUCACACUGGCCAGCACGUGGGGGGCUGGGGCAGCUGGGGCGGAUGGCCCACACCCAGGGCCAGCCGUGCCUGGGAGGGCUGAGUGAGCAGCUCUGAGUAGCUCGCUCAGGAAAGUCAGGUGGGAGAGCACAAGGGCCUGGCCAUCAGGAGAUUAUCUCGGCCACUGAAAGUGACUGGAUCAAUUUAGCUGAAGCAGCCAGGGCUGCUGCGUCAACACAUGCUUAAAAGGCCCCAAGAUCACAGCUGGUGUGGGUGACCGCAGAGCCGGCCCCGUGGGGGUGCUCCCCAGCCAGGCGCCUCCAAUCAGCAAAUGGGAAGGGACAGUGACCCUCCCUGCCAGGACCUCAUGCCCCUACUUGGGCUCACUGUGGAAGGGGAAGGGGCACUCGUGGCAGAGCAAGGCUGGCCUGCCAGAGAACCAGCCUUGACGGUCACUGUCCUUCACUCAAGAUUCAUGAUUUGGGGGUGGGGAAGGGUCCCGGUCUGCACCGGGAGGAGCAUCAAUUUAAACCCUCUGCCCAGAGGACGAGUUCGUGCCGGGGCCC